AGACUCCGCCUCUGAAGGCUGAGCUCUGAAGUCGAAACUCUCGUCUCAAGCUUUCAAUUUUGGAAUCUGGACGAAGCUCUGUUGCUCCUUUGAAGGUCGCCGGCGCACGCUGCCAUCACCAUUCUUGGACGGCGAUUUCAGCCGAUGCGGAAGGAUGCGAUUUUAACGCAAUCUUCGCUACCUUGAAAGGGAACACUGUAACCUCUGAGCUUCAGCUUAUCCACGUUUUGCAACCAUGCGCGCCGUAGCUGCUCGCUUUUCUAACUAUUUAUGUAAGAGGAGACCUGUGAUCAGUGUUCAAUCUCGUAAUUUUUCAUCAUAUAGUGGCAAAGGUAUGAGUUUCUAUUU